GGACUCAUUUCUCAACGUGGAAUUUCUGAGUCAGGGGUAAAUGGAUUUGCAAUUUUGGUAAAUAUUGCUAAAAUAGCCUUCAUAGAAGUUGUAUCCUUAUAAAUCCUACAAUGUAUGAGACAGUAUAUGAGAGAAUCUCUUUUCCCAAAGCUUCAAUAACAAUGCAGUGUAAACUUUUGGAAUUUUGCCAAUUUUUGGUAGGUGAGAAAUGGAGUCUCAUCAUAAUUUUAAUUCACAUCUUUCUUACUAGAGGAGGUAUGCAUCUUUUCAUAUAUUUAAGGGUCAUUUCUGGAAAAAAUUUAAGAGGACACAAUGAUCACAAAUAAAAUUACCUUCUCAUUGCAUCCCUUGAAUCUUGCUUGUUGAAUUUAGUGUUUAUAAUUUUAGUUGGGGAAGCUGUCACUGGAAGCUGGAAUUUGUUGCUGCUUCAUGGUAGAAUACAAAGCAGGAGAGCCAAAUGAAGAGAUGCUGUAUGAGAAACUUUCCAUUUUUUAUUUUAUUUUUUUGGUUGUACCCACAGCAUGCAAAAGUUCCUGGGCCAGGGAUCAAACCCCAGCCACAGCAGUGAUGAUGCCAAAUCCUUAACCGAUAGGCCACCAGGGAACUCCCAGGAAAAACAACUUUUUUUUUUUUUAACACCAAAUGAAUAUUGUCGAAUGCGUGAGAGUGCUGCAGGACUUGAUGGAUGGUGUUUCUCAGUUUCUCCCAUUAAAAAAAAAAAAAAUCACUUUGCGGGAUGGUCCAGACUUCUUCUUUUUUUUUUUUUUUUGGUCUUUUUGCUAUUUCUUUGGGCCACUCCUGCGGCAUAUGGAGGUUCCCAGGCUAGGGGUUGAAUCUGAGCUGUAGCCACCGGCCUAUGCCAGAGCCACAGCAACGCGGGAUCCGAGCCACGUCUGCAACCUACACCACAGCUCACAGCAACGCCAGAUCCUCAACCCACUGAGCAAGGCCAGGGACCGAACCCGCAACCUCAUGGUUCCUAGUCGGAUUCGUUAACCACUACGCCAUGACGGGAACUCCUUCUAGGACUUCUGAGUUAUGUGGCUUACUGUAUAGCCAGGAUUGUAGCUACUCUCCUACUUUUCUGGUGGCUUUUUUUUUUUUUUUUUCCCCAUGCCUGCAGCAUGUGGAAGUUCCUGGGCUGGGGAUUGAAUCUGUGCCACAGCAGUGACCCAAACUUCUUCAGUGACACAGCCAGAUCCUUAAUCUGCUACACCACAAGGGAGCUCCUUUUUCUGGCGUUUUGAAAGUGUGUGUGAGUCCUAUUUUAUUUUAUUUUAUUUUAUUUUAUUUUGGUUUUUAGGGCCUCAUGUGUAGCAUAUACCCACUCUAGGGGUUAGCUCAGAGCGGGGCAGCUGCCAGCCUACACCACAGCCACAGCAACACGGGAUCUGAACCGAGUCUGAGAGCUGUACCACAGCUUGGGGCAAACUAGCUGGAUCCUUAACCCACUGAGCGAGCCUAGGGAUCAAACCUAAAUCCUCACUGAUACUAGUCUGGUUUGUUACUGCUGAGCCACAGUAAUGAACCAGACUAGUAUCCUAUUUUAAAUAAUAAACAUUGUAAAGGUUAAGUAAUUUAGUUUGCUUACUUUUCUGAUAGCAUGAAUGUCCCACAAGAGCUUGCUUAAUAAGAAUCUUAAAUAAGAUGGGCUUUGGGGGAGCACCAGGCAAAUGAGAGGGUGAAGGGGGCUGGACCAGAAGCACAGGGGACCCACACUCAGCACUUUUCCCAUGGGGGGCUCUGACCAGGAUCCAAGUCUGUAUAACCAAGGGUGGUGCAGAAUGAUAGACUAGGAGCCACUCCCCAGGAGACAAACUGGGUCCUAAUCAAGGAACAUUCUCUCCCAUGGGAGUGGAAGGUCCUGGCAACACUGCCCAGCAGAAUUCCAAGACUGCUGCCAACAAGUAACUGGCAUGUGUCUCCCAUUCUUCUAUAUAACAAGACUCUGUUGUAGUUAGCCUUUCUCUUUCUCACCAUUGCAUGUUGGGUGUCUGUGUGGCAAGUGAUUUUAGUUCAUGUCUCGAGCAGUCACACCAAAGGAGUUGUACCAGAUCUGGUACUGAGCACAAAAACUGGACUUUGAGCCAGAUGCUGUAAUUGGACAAAACUUAGCCAGAUCACAAAGCACCACAUAUUAUAUGCUUCCAUUUUUGUGAAAUGUCCAGAAGAGACAAAUCUGUACAUGGAAAAUAGAUCAGUGGAUACCUGGGACUAGAGAUUGGAGCAGGGUAAUGGGUACAAGGCUUUUUAAGGGGUGAUGAAAAUAUUCUGAAAUUGAUUGUGGUGAUGACUGCACAAAUCUGUGAAUGCAUUAAAAAGCUUUGAAUUGUAUAUUUUAUUUAUUUAUUUAUUUAGCUGCACCUGCGGCGCAUGGAAGUUCCCAGGCUAGGGACUGAAUUGGAGCUACAGUUGCCAGCCUACACCACACCACAGCAACUCAGGAUCUGAGCUGUGUCUGUAACCUGCAACACAGCUCACAGCAAUGCUGGAACCCUAACACACUGUGCGAGGCCAGGGAUUGAACCUGCAUCCUUGUGGAUACUAGUCAGGUUUGUUACCACUGAGCCACAACAGGAACUCCAAAUUGUACACGUUAAAUAGGUAUGUAGGAUGGUGUGUGAAUUAGAAUUCAAUAAAGCUGUUAUUAGAAAAACCUUCAGACUAGCUAAUAGUUGGGAGAAAAUAUAUAUAAAACAUUUGUCUAAUAAAGGAUUUCUAUAGCGUAUAAAAAUUAGGUUUAUUAUACAUUCAUUAAAAUGUUACUUUUAUCGUCCUUGGUAUCCCUCUUUAUCUUCAGUAAUAUCUUUUGCCUUAAAGCCUGCUUGUUAUAUCUCAAAAUAAAAAGAAGGAAAAAGGAGUUCCCCUCGUAGCUCAGCGGAAAAGAAUCUGACUAGGAACCAUGAGGUUGCGGGUUUGAUCCCUGGCCUUGCUCAGUGGGUUAAGGAUCUGGCGUUGCCGUGAGUGGUGGUGUAGGUCACUGAUGUGGCUUGGAUCCCGUAUUGCUGUGGCUGUGGCGUAAGCUGGCAGUGGUAGCUCUGAUUAGACCCUAGCCUGGGAACUUCCAUUUUCUGUGGGUGUGGCCC
rnacentral:lncRNA from 1 species